rnacentral:rRNA from 1 species
CCUACGGGAGGCAGCAGUGGGGAAUAUUGGACAAUGGGCGAAAGCCUGAUCCAGCAAUGCCGCGUGAGUGAUGAAGGCCUUAGGGUCGUAAAGCUCUUUUACCCGGGAUGAUAAUGACAGUACCGGGAGAAUAAGCCCCGGCUAACUCCGUGCCAGCAGCCGCGGUAAUACGGAGGGGGCUAGCGUUGUUCGGAAUUACUGGGCGUAAAGCGUGCGUAGGCGGUUAUUCAAGUCAGAGGUGAAAGCCCGGGGCUCAACCCCGGAACGGCCUUUGAAACUAGGUAGCUAGAAUCUUGGAGAGGUCAGUGGAAUUCCGAGUGUAGAGGUGAAAUUCGUAGAUAUUCGGAAGAACACCAGUGGCGAAGGCGACUGACUGGACAAGUAUUGACGCUGAGGCACGAAAGCGUGGGGAGCAAACAGGAUUAGAUACCCUGGUAGUCCACGCCGUAAACGAUGAUAACUAGCUGUUCGGGUACUUGGUAUCUGAGUGGCGCAGCUACGACAUUAAGUUAUCCGUCCGUCGGGUAGGUACGGUCGCGAAGAAGUUAAAACGUUAAAAGGUAAAGUUAGUACGGACGUGAGUAACGUGUCCGAACGGACGACGACGAGGGGAGGUUAGG